UCGUAAGGAUAGAAAAAACCCAUAAUCCCAAACCUACACAGGGAAGUCAACUCUGAAAAACAGUAACUUAAUGACUACCGAAAGAUAGAAGUCACGGCGCGUGAGAGAGUGGAAAAGGAGAAAGCUUCGUCUCGCUAAAAGAAGAACUUACAGUCUACAAAUAUGACAAGUUUCAGCGAGAUGGUGCUAACCUCAGAACCUGUUAUAGAGGUGGAAUACAAAAAUUGCCAAGACAUUGAUUUUGCAAAGAAAACAGAGGAACCAUAUGCAACAAGAUCAAAAUCAAACAUAGAAAAAGAUAAAUAACCAAAAUUCAACCGAAUAUAGGCAGACCAUGUGACGACCCUAUUUUUUCAAAAUCCAAAAUCGUUUUGAAUUAAAAAUCAUAGCACAUGGAAAUAAAUUUUCAAAAAAUCAACUUGUAAUACCAUUAGACAUCAUUACCAAUUAACUCCAAACUGCCAACAUUUAAUUAAUAAAUUAAAACAAACCUUCUAAGUAAAUGUUUCAUGAAAGGUAGAGAAUACAAAUGUCUAGGACAUUUAAUAUUGCAAAAUCCAAAUCAUAACAGGGUUCAGUUGGGUAGCAUCAGAUCAUCGUACAGUGCAGUAGCCUUGUCACCAUAUUUUCUAUUCACGAUCUCCUCAAAGGGAAAAUUAGGGAUGAGAACUUGAUGAAGUUGUCAGUACGAUGUCUACAAUUGGUUUAUUCUGACAUACCUUAUCACCACAUGAAAUCAACAGAUUUAAUACAUAUCUUCAAUAUAAAAUAUGCAUAUGGAUGAUGAAAACGUAUAACAGGCAAUUACAACCACAAUACAUGGAUGUCUAUGCACAUGCAUGCAUUAUUUAUUAUCUGUUGGUAUGCUUACAGCCAUAAUGCAAAACUCUUCGCAACCACUAAUCAUGCAUAAAUGUGUAUGCUCAAUCAGAGUAAAUAAAGUAUUAGAAAUGACCAUCAUACGAUUCAUAUACAUUAGUUAGCAAAGCCAUAAUAUCAUAAUAAUAUACAUGUGGAUGCAUAAUUUUAAUCAAGUCUUCUCCAAAUUUAUAUCUGUAUGCAAUUAUUAACAUAAGAUACAUGUAAAACGAGGCAAAACGUGUUUUACAUAAUUUGAAGUUACUCCUUUUAAAAUUUAUUAACAUGUAAAGUUAUUAACAUUGUAAAAUAAAGGGUCGCGAGUCAUUUUUUGCAAUUAUUUUUCAGAAAAUGAGGCGAGUUAAGCACAAACUAAUCACAAAGUGUUUCUGAAGGCGCGGAUUUGAAAAUUUUCGUAUCGAACGUAUAUAAACCCCAUCUCAAGCCCGAUCUGCCAUUUUCACCCACUCUUUCUCUCUCCUCUCGAUUUUUUUUAUCCGACCGAAGUUUCUCACGGCUGUUCCGGCCACCUCCGGCAACCACUGGCAGCUCCAGCCAGCGACGGUGGGACGGCGCCUGCCAAACCCAUGGGUUUUAAGGUUUUGGGUUCGGCGGGAGAAUAAACAGCCAGUGCCUCCCGCCUGCCCUGCCCGGUUUCAGUGGCCAACUCCGGUGAUCGACAAGGCCACCGGCGAAGGCCCAAGAUAGACAUCGGUACCUUUCUUUGCGCGAGCUGGUCCUCAAUGCACGCAACUCAACAAGAAUGACAGAGAAGGAGAAAACAAGAGGAAGGAAAGAGUAGAUACACAGAUAUGAAGGACCAGAGAGGGGGAGAAAGAGUGAGAGAGAUUAGCGUCUUGUCUCCGCAGACAUUUGGCACGUCUUCCUGCUGGCGGUGGCAAGCACGUCAGAAUUAAGGCCCUCCUUGCUGCGCCUACAUGCUAAACCGUGCAAGUCAGAAAUCCUGCAGGUCGACCCUGCUCAGUAAAAGGAAUAAAAGGCCCUCGGGCCUCGGCUGGAUGUUAUAUCGCUAGUCAAAAUCUGACUUUUUAGAAUUGCAGAUUGGAUGCAGGCUUUACUGGUAAUAGUUCUUUAAGUUACGAUGAGAUUGUCUAUGGCUUCAUUGGGGAAUUAAGUGGAGAUCUAGUGAUGGAGGACGAGUUACCAGAUGCACAUACUUUAGCUUUGCUUAAUAUGGUGGUCUUGCAAGGAUGAGAAAAAAGAAUUCCUUUUCUAGAGAAAAGGAUACCUGCCUUUUCCACAAAGGUGACCAACCAUGUCGCUGGGAUAACACAGGAAAGGGAAAAGGUUGAGUAAAUGGAUGUUGGCAUGUCAUUAUCAUCUCCUAGAAAAAACCAGAAUAGUCAUCUUUUGUCUAAACAGUACACUGUGUUUUUGGUAUUAUA